AAAUCCUCUCUUCGUGGAGAAAUUUUUCAUCAGAGUAAUUUCCCUGCAACAAUUGGCUUAUUUAACCAUUGGCAACAUCCAAUGAGCAACAUUCCGCAUACCCUGGGGAAAAGGAUGUUAUAGAAUUGAAAAUUUGUUUCGUCAUCGUAGGCUCCAAUAAAACCAGAAACUCUGUUUCAAAGCUAUCACAGCGAAAUUUUGCAGCUUAUAGUCUUAUUAAAGAGACGAAGAAUUGUGAGCGGGAUCAGGAUAUUUAUACAAGAACUACCUAUUUGGCUGGUUCCUACAUGGGUACUUUCCGAACUAGCCCUAUGGUAAACGAACGCCGAACCACUCAAAGAAGACACAAAAAAUGUUGCUCUGUAUACUUUACAACCCACCGCGCACCAGCCACCGAACUAGUUCGGUUGGGAUGCAACGUCUCACCAGUAGACGAAGAAACGAAAAGCAUGAGAAAAAAAUGAAGAGAGUAGGUAGCUAAAAAUUAUGCUGUCCUGCUCUUUUCCUUUCCCUUUUAUUUUUUGUAUCAUUUCAUUGCUGGAAUGUUCUUUGUGCGGCUGAUCAAGUUAUUAUAAUUAUUUAAAUUUAAACAGUAAGGAAAAGCCUUUAAUUAAAAAUGUAUAGCAAACGGCAUUUGCGUAGGCUCAAAAAGGAAAUAAGAGACAAAUAUGCGGCCAAACUUCAUCGUGCUAGCGGAGAAACAGUGUCGUGCAGUAAAAUAGAAAAAGUUGAAGGCCGCGAAAUAAGAGAGGAAAUCGAAGAAAAUGAAAAAAUGGAAAGUGACGUUGAAAUAAUAAAUGAAGCAAGUGAGAAUAAAGUGAGCUUAAGUGAAGAUUUAAAAGAGCAUAGGCCAUAGGCCCAGCGAGACUGCGCUGUAGAGUUCGGGUAUUAAACAGAAAUAGUUUGCAAGUCGCGCCAUUUUAUAAGUACACUGCGCAAAAAAAUCAUGAAAUAGUUAAAACUGAUGGUGGCCUUUAUCUCCAUUAAAAUUUGCAAGAACUUUUAUGGAGUUUUGAUUGAUGCCAUAACUGUAGAUGCAGGGACUGGAUCAGCUGAAGUACAGCUCAGGAAGGCCCUUCAGCUGCAAAAAAAAAUAGCACCACCGCGAACAGCAGAACCUAAAUUAAGUAAAUUUAAAAAUAAAAAUGGAAUAAAAAUUUAAAUAAAGGAAAUGCAGAUUAUUAACCUACUAGAUGGGGUACCCAUUGCA